rnacentral:tRNA from 1 species
GGGCCUAUAGCUCAACUGGCAGAGCAGCGGACUUUUAAUCCGCGGGUUCUGGGUUCGAUUCCCAGUGGGCCCACCC